rnacentral:rRNA from 1 species
AACGAACGCUGGCGGCAGGCUUAACACAUGCAAGUCGAGCGCCCCGCAAGGGGAGCGGCAGACGGGUGAGUAACGCGUGGGAAUCUACCCAUCUCUACGGAAUAACGCGUGGAAACGUGUGCUAAUACCGUAUACGUCCUUCGGGAGAAAGAUUUAUCGGAGAUGGAUGAGCCCGCGUUGGAUUAGCUAGUUGGUGGGGUAAUGGCCUACCAAGGCGACGAUCCAUAGCUGGUCUGAGAGGAUGAUCAGCCACACUGGGACUGAGACACAGCCCAGACUCCUCCGGGAGGCAGCAGUUGGGAAUAUUGGACAAUGGGCGCACGCCUGAUCCCGCCAUGCCGCGUGAGUGAUGAAGGCCCUAGGGUUGUAAAGCUCUUUCUCCGGUGAACAUAAUGACGGUAACCGGAGAAGAAGCCCCGGCUAACUUCGUGCCAGCCGCCGCGGUAAAAC